CUUCUCCCAAUUUUCAUAUUCCCUCGCAGCUUUUCUCACAAACCUUAAAAAAAUUUAGAACGCUCCAACAUUUCCCUCCUUUGAAAGCCCAAAAUUUCCAUCUCCCUCUCUUUCAUCGAUACCUAUUCAAACACAAAUAAAAAUACUUGUCUUUCUAAUUUCCCCGAAAACCCACACAUCUCUUACUCCUACCAUGGCUCCAGGUGGAAAGCGGAAGUUCAUGUGAAGCUUAAUCGAUGGCUGUUAAGAGAGCUAUGGAGCUUGGGGAAAAGCUUCCUGAAAAGAAGGUUCCAUGUACCAUUGGGAAUAUAGGGAAAGUAAAUGAGGCUAUUUGCAUGCCUGGUGAUAAAGAGGUUCCAUGUACCAUUGGAAUUAGGGCCAUUGGAGGGUGAGGCUGUUAUGAGCAAAUUUCAGAAGGUUUAUAAAAAAUUAAGCUGAGCUUUUAAAGGUGUGCCUUUUGAAGAAUUAAAUGAAGUUAAAGAACAGCUGCCGCUAGAAUUGCAAUAUCAGAGACAUGGCGAAGAAAGUCUAUUUGGAACCGGGUGAAAGACUUUCAUUUGCUUACUGGAAUCCUUGUUACCAGCUGGCUUCCACGUGACGGCAAUCAGACCACCAACAGUGCCUCCUAACUCAUGCAGACAUUGGAGGAAGUUAAUCCGAGUGAGGUUGAAGCUGUCUUUAAACCAUUAGGAGCAGAGGCGAGGGAGUUGUCCGUGUAAUUUUCAAAGGAAAGAUAUCAUUUUCAUUGUUGUUAUAUCACCACUUGUGCUUCUUACUUCUUAACUUGUUAUUUUACACUGUUCUUAAUCUUACUCAUAUUAUGGAAGCAGUUGAAGCUUAAGUGGUAUGGUUCCAAAUCAGUUGUUAAGCAUCCUCGAUGCAGUAUCAGGAGGAAAUCAAGUUAUGUUGAUGCUGAGGUAUUUGCAUUUGUAAAAACAGACAACGCUAACUCGCCCCAUAGAGCAAAGUUGAUUAUUUUUGCAGAAUUGAAGAGGGUUUGCAACUGAUUUUCUUGUUUAGAAAUGGAUUUGAAUGGAGUCUUGCUGAAAUCAACACACAUGGCCUCUCAGCAGAUAACAGAAGAAGCUGUUUACCUUUGCACUGGAAAUCCAUUGCCCAAAGACAUUGAGCAAAUAUCUUACUGGCUUUUAAAACCCUUUAACAGGAAGAAAUAGGUGAGGUUAAAAUAAGUGAUGAAGAGGGUAAUACAUCAACAGGUGGGGCUGAAAGAUUAGUUGUUGAUGUAGCUGUUGAACUUGCAUCUCAUGGUCAUAAAGUUCAUAUUUUUACUGCACAUCAUGAUAAAAACAUAUGCUUUGAGGAAACCAUUUAUGUUGAUGUAUACUGGUUGAUCAGGAAUGGACAUUUUGAUACUCGUUAACAGCAAAUUCACAUUGAUAAAUAUUAUGGUGCCAUUGCAUUAUAAAUUGUCAUGGAAGUAUCAAUUUUCAAGGAAGUAUCAAUAUUAUGGUUCCACUGCAUUAUAAUAUUAUGGUGUCACUGCAUUAUAAAUUGUCAUGGAAGUAUCAAUAUUAUGGUGCCACUGCAUUAUAAAUUGUCAUGGAAGUAUCAAUAUUAUGGUGCCACUGCAUUAUUUUUUAUUGCCUAAUCUUAGAAGUUAUCAAAUAUAUGGUCAUAUAGGUGUUUCACAUGUAGUUGAAUGAAGGGGAUGGAGCAUUCUAUGGACCAAAGAUAGAUAUCAGUGUAUCUGAUGCGUUGAGUAUAAAAUUCCAGUGUGCAACUCUACAGGCUCCUUGCAGCGUGACUUCCAGCUUCCUGAUCGUUAAGUUGGAAUUCUCGGCCGAGGAUGAAGCCAAAAUUGAGAGGUUCACCAAAAAUCUUUUUCCUUUGUAUCUUAAUGAAGGAUAUACCUUGAUUUCCUGAAUACAUGCUGUUUGAUCCUAGUUGUUGGAUACUCAUUGGGAGUCUUUUGUUUAUGUUCGGCGAACAAUCUGGACUCUCGUUCAAGCUUCUAUUUGGAACACGUCUAGUGCUGGUGCCUGGUCUUGACGCAUAUGUAUUGUCUCGCUCAAAAUCUACUUGGCUCUUGAAUGUAAACCAAACACAAAGAGGAAGUAACAGUAAGAAUGUUGUAUUCUUCCAAUAUUUCCAUUAGAGGAGCCUACAUAGAUGCCAUUUGGGCUUGCUGUUAUUGACUUAAUAAAGCACGGCAUACUAUAAAAGGUCAAUCAGGAAAAUACAUAUUGGGUCAUGAAAAGUAAUUGCGAGAGUGUAAGACUUAUCAAGCGGUUUGAUUUCUACAGUGGUAAAACUGUGUAGUUUGGUUCUUGGAAUUCUUAGAAAGAUUCAUAAGGUAUCACAUACCUUUGGAAGCAGACAUUUUUGGAUCCUCUAGUAGUGAGCAGGGUUCAAGUUGGGCAAUGGAGGUAGGGGGUCAUCUAAAAGUUCAUUCAAUAUUAGUGGAGAAUCUUAGCAAGAACGGACAGAUGCUUGUUGAGAUGCUAUGUGAAGAAUGGAGCCAUUUUCUUGAAAUAGCGGAAGCCAUAAGAAGCUUAGGCCUUACAAUUUUGAAGGGUGCAACAAAAACUCGCGAUGACAAGAUGUUAAUAUGCUUUAUUGUUGAGGUUGAAAACAACAAAAAUGUACACUGAUUGGACAUCUUGUGGCCGCUUGUUCAGAUACUGCAAUCCAAGAGCACUGCAGCAACAGUAACUGGUUGAUUCGUAGAAACUUCACAGCCCUUUAUUUGUUGCCAGAACUCAUUAAUGAUAACUGAAGUGAUGCUCAGGAUUUCUCACCCUUGUGUGUUCAAGACUCUAAUUGCUGUUUUUCUUAAAUCUGGUUUGAAUUUCGAGUGUUUGUUUGUGUUUGGCAUUGAAAUAAUACAACGCAUUGUUCCCUUCUUACUCUUAGUGCCACUUUUUAUGUUCCAGACUUAUGCUUUGGUGAUCAUUUAAAAAUAUAGCCUUGUGAGCUUAAUAAGUAAACUAUGGAGGAUCAACAAACCUAUACAGGUUGCUUAUGCUCAUGGAGGGUCCAACUGGAACAUAAGGUGGCAUGUGUUUUUAUUGAAAUGUGAUUAUUAAUUAUCAAUAAUGUAAAAUCAAAUUUUAGUUUCUAUAAAUUCAUGAAGUUAUUUUAA